AGAUAAUGGAAGAGAAAGAAAAGACUUCAAGGAGAAUGAGAGAAACUGACAUGGAAUUGGAAAGAAAACUUUUGGAUGUUAACCCAAUAAACUGGAAUAUGACUUUACACUAAUAGCAUGCUACUGGGCUGGUUCAAGAAACAUACGGACAACUUUUAAAAUAAUCUACAUAGAAUAAAAUUUUAAUUAUAUAGAAAUGUCUAUUUUUGUACUUGAAAUAUUAUGACUAUUAUGAUUCCCAUGGGCCGUUGUGUCCUAGUCAGUUUCCAA